UUUGUUUUAACACGAAGUAAAACAGAAAGGGCACUACUGAAAAAAAACAGAAUCCCGUCCGUCCUUUCAGGGGAAGGAAAUUGGCUUGCAAACCUCACUCUUCUCUCUGUUUGCCUCAGAUUCUACCUGUUUAGAUUUCAGACUGGCCCUGGAUCUUGGGCUACAAUAUAGGGUCCAUCAUCACCCUAAGAACAGAGAUGACAGGUUUAAGGGUGAUGCAGCUUGGGGAGGCCUGCACUGAAGCACGGCAAGGAAGAACGAAGCUAUUCCUAGAUUAGGCUGGACAGAAACUGAGCAGGCACUCAAGAAUAAAGGACAGGCAUAUUCACAGUGAGUGUGCAGAGGGUACCUGCAGAUGCCCAGCUGCUUAUCAAACUGGUGAAUAGGCUGCAGGUCCCACAGGUGGGCAUAGCUAUUCUGAGGGUGCAAUUGAUUAGUCUCAUCUCCCCUUCCUCAUCUUUACCUCAGAUGGGUCUAUUAAAAUACAUGGCAUUUCCUUACAAGAGUUGGCGAACGCUGUUGACCAGUCCGCCUCUCAUCUUCACCCUUACUGUGAAUGGAUCUGUUAAAAACACAGACCGUUCCUCACAAGGGCU
rnacentral:lncRNA from 1 species